CAGCAUUCACACCCCACAUAUACUUCUUUGCACUUAAAAGCAGGAGCAUGUCAAAGGCUGCCUGCGAAGCUGGCCAGUGCUCCAGGGAGGGCCGGAUCAUCUCUCACACAAAGUGAUCAGGACCUUUGAAGACAGAGGCCCGGGCUUGUGGCUGUUUUCCUGCCAUUUCUCAACAAAGGAGGCUGCUGCCAGGCAUUUUGGGAGUCCCUGCUGUGUGCUGGGAAUCAUAUUAGAUACCAGAGAUGAGUACAAGAUACAGUUCCUACAGUUCCUGCAAUUUAGGAGCUUGACAUGGAUGUUCAGAUUUCUGGCCACACGACAUUCUAUUCAAUGACCAUGCAGCCUGGUGUCACUCGCUGCCCCUGCUCUGCACCCGCCUGCCACCAGAUAUCAGGGAAUACCUGAAUGUUGGCUAUGACCUCAUUUGUUGAAGUUGAAAGAAAUGAGACUUGCAUUAGUCAAUCAUCUGAAAUGUAGCUCUGUUAGAAAUGGUCUUUUCUGGUGUUUAUUCAAAGGAAAAUACUUCACUUGGGGUCCUUAGUUUUUGCUGUUGUUAUCCCAGAGGUAAAAGGAGAUGACAGUUACAGGUGAUCCUGCACUGCCACCUUCAUCACAGGACAUAGAUACACUCCACACAAAUACUCCUACUAACAACAUAAUCUCCCCUGACCUAUGAGAGCACAUGAAUGUUUUGUGAGUUCCUCUAUCCACCCAAUGAAACUUGUUAGCUCUUUGGUCCUGUUUCUCCAGUUUGUGAGUCUAUUGUGGAGCCCUGGUAAUUCAACUCAGGAUCUUAGCAGAGUUAGGGACAGAUCAGCUGUCCUGGAAAGAGCUAGAAAACCCUGAUUAAGGAGAAUCUAUCUUGUCAUGAUGUGUCUCACAUAGGGGGGCCCGGGCCUUGCUGGAUGAUGGAGUGGUGAAACAAGAUAAAUAUGGGAAUGCUCCCUGGUACUUCAAUUUUGCUUAAUGUUAAAUAAUGUGAAAUAUUAUUUUUGUAUUAAAAUAGAUCUAUUCUAUGACUUUUUAGACAAAAAAGUACGAGACUUUAAAUACACUGUGCUCGGCUGGGUGCAGCGGCUCACGCCUGUAAUCCCAGCACUUUGGGAGGGCAAGGCGGGUAGAUCGCCUGCGGUCAGGAGUUUGAGACCAGCCUGGCCAACAUAGUGAAACCCCGUCUCUCCUAAAAACACAAAAAAUUAGCUGGGUGUAGUGGCAGGUGCUUGUAAUCCCAGUUACUAGGGAGGCUGGGGCAGGAGAAUCGCUUGAACCCGGGAGGUGGAGGUUGCAGUGAGCCGAGAUCGUGCCAUUGCACUCCAGCCUGGGCAACAAGAGUGAAACUCCGUCUCAAAUAAAUAAAUAAAUAAAUUGUGCCUUUGAAGUAGGCAAUUAAAACUGUGUCCUCACAUUAUGAGUGACCUUAAAGAAAUAAAAAGGAUUAUAAUGGAAUGUUAUGAACAGGUGCAUGGCAAUAAAUUAGGUAACUUAGAUAAAAUAAAAAAUUCUUAGAAAGACACAUAAUGCCCAAAUGGACUCAAGAAUAGACAAUUUUAAGAAACAUAUAACAAGUAAAGAGAUUGAAUUAGUAAUUAAAAACUUCCCACAAAGGAAAGCCUAAGACCAGCUAGCUGCACCAGAUAGGAUUCAUUGGCAAAUCUACAAAAAAGUUAAAGAAUUACUAACAAUUUAUCAAGAAUUCUUCCAAAAAAUGGAAGCAGAGUGACCAUUUCUUAACUUAUUUAUGAGGUUAAUAUUACCCUGAUACUAAAACCAGAAACCUUCCUCCGAAAGAAUGUAGACCCAAAUCUCUCAUGAAUAUAACCACAAAGAUCCUCAACAAAAUACUAGCAAAUAAGAUCCAGCAAUACAGAAAUUAUACACCAUGAUCAGGUGGGAUUUAUCCCAGGAAUGCAAAAUUGGGUUAACAUCUGAAAAUCAGUUAAUGUAUUACUCCCAUAUCAACAACAUAAAAAAAACCAUAUGAUUAUCCAAUAUAGGCAGAAGAUAUUUGACAAAAUAUAACACUGCUUCAUGAUUUUAUUAGGAAUAAAAGGGAAUGUCCUCAACCUAAUAAAGGUUAUCUACAAAAAACCUGACAACUUACAUGAUAUUUAGUGGUGAAAAAUUAAAUACUGUCCCCUCACUAUCAGGAAAAUAUAAGAAUAUCUGCAGUCACUACUUUUAUUCAACGUUAUAAGUUCUAGCCAGGAGAAUGAGGCAAGAAAAAGAAAUAAAAAGCAUUCAGAUUGGAAAGUAAAGAUGUAAGACUAUCUUGUGGCUGAUAUGAUCUUCCAUGUAGAAAAUCCUAAGGAAUCUAUUAAAAACUAUAAGAACAAAUAAAUAAGUUCAGUAAAGCUGCAGGAUACAAGAUCAAUAUGCAAAACCAAUUGUAUUUCUAUGUAGCAGAAGUGAGCAAAUAAAAACUGAAAUUAAGGAAAACAAUUCCAUUUACAGUAGCAUCAAAAAGAACUAAAUUCUUAGGAACAAACUUAACCAAAAAAAGUGCAAAAUAUAUACUCUGAAAACUACAUUGUUAAAAGAAGUUAAAGUAGACCUAAAUAAAUGGAAAGACAUUCCAUAUUCAUGAAUUGGCAGACUUAAUAUUGUUAAGAGGGCAAUUCUUCCCAAACUGAUCCACAGAUUCAAUGCCAUCUCUACCAAAAACCUAGCUAACUUCUUUGCAGAAACUGAGCAGCAGAUCCUAACAUUCAUACGAAAAGUCAAGCGACUCAGAACACCAAAACAAUAUUGAAAGAGAAGAACAAGUUGGAGGACUGACAUUGGGAAACAAUUUCAAAGCUAGACAGCUACUGUAAUCAAGAUAGCAUGGUAUUAACAUAAAGACAGACAUAUGGAUCAAUGAAAUAGAAUCAAUAGUUCAGAAACAAACCCUAACAUUUAGUCAAAAGUGCAAAGACCAUUUCAUUGGAGGAAUUUAACAAAUGGUGCUGGGACAACUGGACAGCCACAGGCAAAAGAAUGAAUUUGGACACUUACUUCACACUAUAUACAAAAAUUAACCCAAAACGGGUCAAAGACCUAAAUGUAAGAGUGAAAACCGUAAAAUUCAUACAAGGAAACACUGGCAUAAAUCUUACUGACUUUGGGUUAGGCAACGUUUUCUUAGAUAUGACACCAAAAGCACAAGCAAAAGAAGAAAAAAAAAACAGAGAAACUUGACUUCAUUAAAAUAACAAUAAGUUUUGCACUUCAUAGAACACCAACAGAAAGUAAAAAGACAGCCCACAGAAUGGGAGAAAAUUUUUGCCAAUCAUAUAUCAAAUGACCUAUCACAGUGCUAGAAUAUAUAAAGGACUAUUACAACUCAAUAAUAAAAAGACAAAUAGUCCAAUUAAAAUAUGUACAAAGAAUCUGAAUAGACAGUUUUCCAAAGAAGAUAUACCAAUGUCCAAAAGCCACAUGAAAAGAUACUCAACAUCAUUAGCUACCAAGGAAAUGCAAUUCAAAGCCAAAAUGAGAUACAACUUCAUGUCCACUAUAAUGUGCUAUAAUAAAAGAGAGAAUAAUAUGUGUUGGUGAGGAUGUGGAGAAAUCAAAAGCUUGUACAAUGCUGAUGGCAAUGUAAACUCGUGCAGCCAGUUUGUAACCAGCCUACCAGCUCCUCAGACUGUUUAACAUAGAGUUACUAUGUGAUCCAGCAAUAUGAUCCAGUUUAUAUAUGAUCCAGCAAUGUGAUCCAGUUUAUAUAUAUAUAUAAACAUAUGUCCACACAGAAAUGUGUACACAAAUAUUUAUAGCAGCAUUUUGCAUAAUAGCCAAGAAAUGUAAACUCCUCAAAUACCUAUCAGCUAAUAGAUCAACAAACGUGGUAUACCUAUACGAUGCAAUAUUAUUCAGCCGUAAAAAGUAAUAAAGUUAUAAUACAUGCUACAACAUAGUGAAUCUCUAAAACACUAUGCUAAGGGAAAGAAAUCAGUCACACAAGACCAGAUAUUGUAUGAUUCCAUUUAUAUGAAAUGCCCAAAACAGGCAAAGUCAUAGACACAGAAAGUAGAUUAGUGGUUUCUUAGGGCUGGAAAGAGUGGGUGUUUGGGGGCGGAUGCUAAAAGG
rnacentral:lncRNA from 1 species